rnacentral:ncRNA from 1 species
GUAAGACAAGCCAAACCCGUCGCGAGACGGGGACGGAAAGCCACGGGUCUUUGCCCGCUUCGGUCUCUGUCCGGCAUCGGUGCCGGGACAUGGGAGCGAAGGGGUACGCAAAGACAGCCGGGUUGCCAGAG